rnacentral:rRNA from 1 species
UACGGGGGGGGUAAGCGUUGUUCGGAAUUACUGGGCGUAAAGGGCGCGCAGGCGGCUGCUCAAGUCAGGCGUGAAAGGCCUGGGCUCAACCCGGGAAUUGCGCUUGAGACUGGGCUGGCUUGAGUGCGGGAGAGGAUGGUGGAAUUCCCAGUGUAGAGGUGAAAUUCGUAGAUAUUGGGAAGAACACCGGUGGCGAAGGCGGCCAUCUGGACCGCAACUGACGCUGAGGCGCGAAAGCGUGGGGAGCAAACAGG